ACUUAAGCAUAUCAAUAAGCGGAGGAAAAGAAACUAACAAGGAUUCCCCUAGUAACUGCGAGUGAAGCGGGAAGAGCUCAAAUUUAAAAUCUGGCGGCUUUGUCGUCCGAGUUGUAAUUUAGAGAAGCGUUUUCCGCGUCGGACCGUGUACAAGUCUCCUGGAACGGAGCGUCACAGAGGGUGAGAAUCCCGUCUUUGACACGGACUCCCGGUGCUAUGUGAUACGCUCUCGAAGAGUCGAGUUGUUUGGGAAUGCAGCUCAAAAUGGGUGGUGAACUCCAUCUAAAGCUAAAUAUUGGCGAGAGACCGAUAGCGAACAAGUACCGUGAGGGAAAGAUGAAAAGCACUUUGGAAAGAGAGUGAAACAGUACGUGAAAUUGCUGAAAGGGAAACGCUUGAAGUCAGUCGCGUCCCGCGGAACUCAGCCCCUGUGGUGUACUUUCCGUGGGACGGGCCAGCAUCACUUUUGGUCGUCGGAGAAGGGCGGGGGAAAUGUGGCACCUUCGGGUGUGUUAUAGUCCCUUGUCGUAUACGGCGGCCGGGAGUGAGGACCGCCUUUUGCAGGAUGCUGGCGUAAUGGCUUUAAACGACC
rnacentral:rRNA from 1 species